GAUGAACGCUGGCGGCGUGCCUAAUACAUGCAAGUCGAGCGAACAGACGAGGAGCUUGCUCCUCUGACGUUAGCGGCGGACGGGUGAGUAACACGUGGAUAACCUACCUAUAAGACUGGGAUAACUUCGGGAAACCGGAGCUAAUACCGGAUAAUAUAUUGAACCGCAUGGUUCAAUAGUGAAAGACGGUUUUGCUGUCACUUAUAGAUGGAUCCGCGCCGCAUUAGCUAGUUGGUAAGGUAACGGCUUACCAAGGCGACGAUGCGUAGCCGACCUGAGAGGGUGAUCGGCCACACUGGAACUGAGACACGGUCCAGACUCCUACGGGAGGCAGAAGUAGGGAAUCUUCCGCAAAGGGCGAAAGCCUGACGGAGCAACGCCGCGUGAGUGAUGAAGGUCUUCGGAUCGUAAAACUCUGUUAUUAGGGAAGAACAAAUGUGUAAGUAACUAUGCACGUCUUGACGGUACCUAAUCAGAAAGCCACGGCUAACUACGUG
rnacentral:rRNA from 1 species